rnacentral:rRNA from 1 species
UACACAUGCAGUCGAGCGGCAGCGCGGGGGCAACCUGGCGGCGAGCGGCGAACGGGUGAGUAACACAUCGGAACGUAUCCCGUAGUAGGGGGAUAGCCCGGCGAAAGCCGGAUUAAUACCGCAUAUGCUCUACGGAGGAAAGCAGGGGACUCGCAAGGCCUUGCGCUAUGGGAGCGGCCGAUGUCCGAUUAGCUUGUUGGCGGGGUAAUGGCCCACCAAGGCGACGAUCGGUAGCUGGUCUGAGAGGAUGAUCAGCCACACUGGGACUGAGACACGGCCCAGACUCCUACGGGAGGCACAGUGGGGAAUUUUGGACAAUGGGGGAAACCCCGAUCCAGCCAUGCCGCGUGAGUGAAGAAGGCCUUCGGGUUGUAAAGCUCUUUUGGUCGGAAAGAAGGAGUUCGGGUGAAUAACCUGGGAUUUUUGACGGUACCGGCAGAAUAAGCACCGGCUAACUACGUGCCAGCAGCCGCGGUAAUACGUAGGGUGCGAGCGUUAAUCGGAAUUACUGGGCGUAAAGAGUGCGU